rnacentral:lncRNA from 1 species
AUCAAUCAACUUUUCAAGAUUAGUCUAGCUGAGAUAAAACUGGCAUCGACCCUUUAGUAAAACACUUCAUGCAUCUCAUAACAUGAAUCACCGAAAACUUGGCUAACACGUAGGUUAGACAAGCGUUUAAGAAAAACUUGCCUUCAACGUCUGCUACAGUAAAAAUAACUUUUCCUUCCAGUCUUUACGGUCUCUACAAUACAUAACCAC